rnacentral:rRNA from 1 species
UACGGAGGGGGCUAGCGUUGUUCGGAAUUACUGGGCGUAAAGGGCGCGUAGGCGGCCUUCUAAGUCGAACGUGAAAUCCCCGGGCUCAACCCGGGAACUGCGUCCGAUACUGGAAGGCUUGAAUCCGGGAGAGGGAUGCGGAAUUCCAGGUGUAGCGGUGAAAUGCGUAGAUAUCUGGAGGAACACCGGUGGCGAAGGCGGCAUCCUGGACCGGCAUUGACGCUGAGGCGCGAAAGCCAGGGGAGCAAACGGG